rnacentral:lncRNA from 1 species
GGCUUAGUUUGGUAUUGAGAUGGAUCUAACGCUAUUGGAUAAAAUGGAGUUGAGAAAAAGCAUAUAGGGAUAUGUUUCUGCGUUCUCUCAUGAGACCGCAGAAAAUAUAUCGUAACCGACUAACCGCAAUAUGCGAAACGCAAUAUUACGUAAGAAAACAAACAGGAUAUUUUUCCAUUGUCGUUUCUCACCGCACGUAACGCAAUCUCCCCGCAAUCUCAAACGAAGCCUUAUUGGCUAGACAAAAGCAACAUGGUGCAACGCGGCCAAAACCGCAGCGGCGCUUCUGCU